rnacentral:rRNA from 1 species
AACUGCAUUCGAAACUGGCAGGUUAGAGUUUUGUAGAGGGGGGUAGAAUUCCAGGUGUAGCGGUGAAAUGCGUAGAGAUCUGGAGGAAUACCGGUGGCGAAGGCGGCCCCUUGGACAAAGACUGACGUUCAGGUGCGAAAGCGUGGGGAGCAACCAGGAUUAGAUACCUUGGUAGUCCACCCCGUAAACGAUUUCGAUUUGGAGGUUGUUCCCUUGAGGAGUGGCUUCCGGAGUUAACGCGUUAAGUCGACCGCUUGGGGAGUACGGCCGCAAGGUUAAAAUUCAAAUGAAUUGACGGGGGCCCGCCCAAGCGGUGGAGCAUGUGGUUUAAUUGGAUGCAACGGGAAGACCCUUACAUACUCUUGACAUCCAGAGAAUUUAGCAGAGAUGCUUUGGUCCUUUCGGGACCUUUGAGACAGGUGCUGCAUGGCUGUCUUCAGUUCGUUUUGUGAAAUGUUGGGUUAAGUCCCGCAACGAGCGCAACCUUUAUCCUUUGUUGCCACCGGUUCGGCCGGGAACUCAAAGGAGACUGCCAGUGAUAAACUGGAGGAAGGUGGGGAUGACGUCAAGUCAUCAUGGCCCUUACGACUAGGGCUACACACGUGCUACAAUGGCAUAUACAAAGAGAAGCCACCUCGCGAGAGCAAGCUGACCUCACAAAGUAUGUCGUAGU